rnacentral:rRNA from 1 species
UACAGAGGGUGCAAGCGUUGUUCGGAAUUAUUGGGCGUAAAGGGAGUGUAGGCGGCUUGUUAAGUCUUCUGUGAAAUCUACGGGCUCAGCCUGUAACGUGCAGAGGAAACUGGCGAGCUUGAGUGUCGGAGAGGAUAGGGGAAUACCCGGUGUAGAGGUGAAAUUCGUAGAGAUCGGGUGGAACACCAGUGGCGAAGGCGCCUAUCUGGCUGACAACUGACGCUGAGACUCGAAAGCGUGGGGAGCGAACCGG